UACAGAGGGUGCUAGCGUUGUUCGGAAUCAUUGGGCGUAAAGGGCGUGUAGGCGGUUUGUUAAGUCAUGUGUGAAAUCCCUCGGCUCAACCGGGGAACGACGCAUGAAACUGGCAAGCUAGAGUACCAAAGAGGGGGGUGGAAUUCCCGGUGUAGCGGUGAAAUGCGUAGAUAUCGGGAGGAAUACCAGAGGCGAAGGCGGCGCACUGGACGGCAACUGACACUCAACUGCGAAAGCGUGGGGAGCAAACAGG
rnacentral:rRNA from 1 species